AACGAACGCUGGCGGCAGGCCUAACACAUGCAAGUCGAGCGAGGACUUCGGUUCUAGCGGCGGACGGGGGAGUAACGCGGGGGAAUGUGCCCUUCUCUACGGAAUAGCCCUGGGAAACUGGGAGUAAUACCGUAUACGCCCUAUUGGGGAAAGAUUUAUCGGAGAAGGAUCAGCCCGCGUUGGAUUAGGUAGUUGGUGGGGUAAUGGCCUACCAAGCCGACGAUCCAUAGCUGGUUGGAGAGGAUGAUCAGCCACACUGGGACUGAGACACGGCCCAGACUCCUACGGGAGGCAGCAGUGGGGAAUCUUAGAGAGUGGGGGCAACGCUGAUCUAGCCAGGCCGCGUGAGUGAUGAAGGGCUUAGGGUUGUAAAGCUCUUUCAGCUGGGAAGAUAAUGACGGUACCAGCAGAAGAAGCCCCGGCUAACUCCGU
rnacentral:rRNA from 1 species